GUUCGGGAUCCCUAUAUCAUUUUCUAUCUAUAGACUAAUGAGAAGAACAUUGUAGCCGAGUCUACGAACGAAAAUGAUGAGAAGACUGUUAUUCGAUAUUUGAAAAAGAGGAAAAACAGGUGGAUCGAUAGGAGGACAUGGUUCUCCCGUUGUCCGUACGAUGGCAAGAAGUGGUGCCUGACGGGAUUUUCAAAAGAAACUUGUUUACUCACGCUCUCGGCCCUAGCAACAUGCACUCAUUAUUUUUCGUUAAAAGAGUUGGAUAUUAAAUGUUUUUCUCGGGAUCAAGGCCGACUGGCAUGAUAUUGAAUUCAUCGAUGUUCGCUAUCGUUAUAAUUACUGUCCCAGAAAAGAAAUGUGGGAAUAAAUGGGAAGUCGAGCGCUGCUAAUGGAACUGCCAUCCACGUGUACGAAAUUCGGGACUCUUGUCUGUAAUCACAGCGUGUGUCCAACGGAACGGAUUUCUAUUUAUAGACCGCCAUAACCCACAGGCAUUUCAACGUAGCUUAAUAGUUUUGUGGUUUUAGAUUUGUUCCCUUUCAAAUCCCCAUUGUAUCUGUAACAGGUUGUUUUCUAAUUGAACGAGCACGACCAUAUUCCCAGCCAGCAGCUAAAAACCCACAAAAAAUAUAAAAAAAGUUCAUUUUUAAAAAUAUCCAAAAUGUCUUUGUGUGUGUGUGCACGGUUGGGUUGGCUGGUUAAAGACCCUGGAAAUAUACGCUACUCGGCGUUCAUGUAUGAAAAGACUGCGAGCUAUUUUUGAACAUUUCCUCGUCUCUAUUUUAUCGGAUGCUUACGUGUAAUAAUACGUGUCAUCCCCGUCGUUUUGUAUAACCAAGCUCACGGUGGGCGGAGUCACUUGUGUGACACUGUGUGUGUGUGUGUGUCUCCGGGAUUAUAAUAUGCAGCGUAGACACAAGCAACGAGUCGCCGACCGGCCCUGUUCCUUUUAGUGCGGACAUGUAACACCACGUCACACCACGGACCGUUGGCACUGGCAUACAGAACUCGGUCGUCACGGUUAUAGAGGGCCCUAUCGGAUAACAUCAUGGCCGCCGCCGCCCCCUUCCCCAAAAAGAAGCGUCGUGUCUAAUUCCGUGACUUCUUUCUUUCAUCGACGUCGUCCUUGGUGUCGUCUGUUUCAUGACUCAUGAAAAGAAGAAUGUUUUAUCGGUUCAUCACUAAAUAAGAGUCUUUUGAGACUUUUUUGACAAUUCACGAAAUUUGGCUAAUUCGUUAAGUAGCCGCCAGGAGGAGGAAGCAAAUAAAAUUAGCCGAAAUAAAUUUUGACAAAAGAAAAACAAAUUGGUUGAUUUUUUUUCAUUUUUUUGUGAUCGUGUUGUUUGUCACCCCGUUUAUGUUUCGGCGACGAUAAAUAUCAAUCGCCAUUUUUCUUUCA